rnacentral:tRNA from 1 species
GAGGGUAUAGCUCAGUGGUAUAGUAGGGGUGCGUGCUUAGCAUGCAUGAGGUCCUGGGUUCAGACCCCAGUGCUGCCA